UACGUAGGGUGCGAGCGUUAAUCGGAAUUACUGGGCGUAAAGCGUGCGCAGGCGGUUUUGUAAGUCAGAUGUGAAAUCCCCGAGCUCAACUUGGGAACUGCGUUUGAAACUACAAGACUAGAGUAGGUCAGAGGGGGGUAGAAUUCCACGUGUAGCAGUGAAAUGCGUAGAGAUGUGGAGGAACACCAGUGGCGAAGGCGGCUUCCUGGACUAAAACUGACGCUGAGGCGCGAAAGCGUGGGUAGCAAACAGG
rnacentral:rRNA from 1 species